AGAUCUGAUUUAACACUCCGGGAUAUUCAGCUCUUACUAGCGGAAUCGUCUGACCGAGAUGGGCUGGCGCAAUCAAAUUUCUUUAAUAGGAAUGCAGCCGGAAAGUACUUUCAUGCUGUCUUGGGGUUUGGUUUACUGAAUGCGGACAAAGCUGUUACAAAAGCAAACACGUGGCGUCAUGUUGGAAAGCUAUAUAAUCAUUCCUUAGACUACGUGCAAGUUCACUCUGAGACAUUCGAAAAGAGAGGACAAUCCGUCCAGAUGUUGACAAGAAUAGAGUUCAGUAUGGAAGCAGAUCCAUGUUGUCCCCACGUAAAUACCAUAGAGCAAGUAGUGUUACGUAUAGGUCAUGAUGUCAUUAAUCAGGAGGGUGUUUGCGUUGAAAUAGUUUCUCCAAGCAUGACGACGUCUGUUAUUUUAGAUAAUAAAGAUAGAACAAAUAUUGACCAGGAUACUGUACCAAGAGAUUUGACCAGUGUCCACUUUUUGGGAGAAUCACCUGUUGGAAACUGGACAGUAAGAAUAUACCUUGGUCAGA